CUCUAAGAACAAAAACGUAAACAAAGAUAAAGAUAUUUACAAAUAUUGACAGAAAAAUGGGUUUUACUUGGAAGCUAUUGAUGACUUAGCCAAGCGCUCCCUCCCUCCCUUUAGAUGCUGCUAGGCACUACCCAUUCUCGGUUGAACGGCGCCCCUCCUCGUGACUAUGCUGGUGCCAUCUCCUCCACUGGCACAACUUAGCCACACAUUGUGGGAUUUACAAACAUUUAAUGAACAUGACCAAAACUCGGCCUCUGUCUUUAAUAUUUACGCGGUCAAAGCAGAGGAUCUGUUGCUAGGAAAAGGCUAGAGGGACCGCGGAAAGUUAUGCUGGUAGAGCUCGCAUGGAAACAUGGCCCUCAAAUGGACCCACGCGAUGCGUGCGUGUUGGGUCACCUAAUUCUGAGGAGCUCCUGGGGAAAAGAAGGGGCAGGUCAAAAGGUAUAUAACUGCACUGUAAAUUGAAUAUUAUUGUAUUGUUGUAUCAUGACUUGUACACUGUACAUCAGUGGUAGCCAGCAUAAGCGAAGCAUACAAUGACAUGUUGGAAUCUGUGUCAAUUUAUCAUUUUAUCAAUUUUAUUCUGUUACAUUCAAAUCUUAUUUAUCAAAAUAUACAAUUAAAAGAUCAAACAUACCCGGCGUUAAAAGUUACACGACUUCAAUCAAAGGGUAGAAAUGGAAGAUAAUGAA